GACGAACCGAGCGAACGUUAUUCGGAAUCACUGGGCUUAAAGGGCGCGUAGGCGGGCCGCCAAGUCAGGGGUGAAAGCCCCCAGCUCAACUGGGGAAGUGCCUUUGAUACUGGCGGUCUCGAGGGGGAUAGGGGCGUGCGGAACUUCCGGUGGAGCGGUGAAAUGCGUAGAUAUCUGGAGGAACACCGGUGGCGAAGGCGGCAUCCUGGACCGGUAUUGACGCUGAGGCGCGAAAGCCAGGGGAGCAAACGGG
rnacentral:rRNA from 1 species